rnacentral:lncRNA from 13 species
AAAUUGAAUAAGGAAAUAGUAAUCUAAUCUAAUAGUAAUCUGAUGCUGGCUUCUGCUGUGAGCUUGGGCAAGUCACGUAAUGCUCAAGGUCUCUGCCUCCUCCCCAGCUAGGUUGACAAAAGCUCGCAAGACCCACCCUCGCCACUUUUAUAAUUUUAUGAUUCUGUGGCUGGAGAGUGCCUGGUGUAGUCCUAGAAUGAUACUCUUUCCAGAUUUAGAUGAGCGAAUUGGGAACGAAGUAAAACUUGCCUUCUAGAUUCAGAACUAUUUUAUUUCUGGUCCUUCCACUGGGGCCAAAGCACAUCUCCUUGUAAAGGACAUACAUACAGAGUGUAAAAUCUACAGUCAUGGGGAUGGGGUGUUGAUGCUUGGUGGAACUGGUUUUAAAGUCCUCAGACUGAAGAGCAGGUACGACGUUUUAAUUACUGCUCAGAAUUCACAUGCACGACAGGCAGGGAUGGUCACCCCUGACUCUGGUGGGGCAUAGAGAAAGCUGGCCCACUACACAACUCCAGUGGGUACUGUCCCUGAGGCACCACUCCUGGGCAGAAGGAGAAAAGAGGUAAUCCACAUAAUGGUACCAGCGACCGUAGCCAAGACUUCUCCAGCACUAACAUCAAGUUAGUACUGGGCCAAGAUUUUUUACGUGCAUUAUUUUACUUAAUCCUCACAAUUCUUUGAGCUAAGAAAUGUUUUUCCCUUUAACAGGUGAGCCUUUUAAGGUCAAAUGAUUUGCCUAAGAUCACAUGGCAGUCAAUGCUGGAGGCAAGGCUUUCCUUCUGGAACCUGUAAUUUACCAUUACGCAACUCCACAGUCCAAAGCCAAGUCCAAAUCCUGCCUGCACCUGAGCCGCAGAUUAUCAUAUCAGAAUUGCCAGCAUCACUACUCUUGUGCUUUGGGGCCAGUAUGAAGUAAAAUAAUGGUGGCUUCAACACCAGCAUGGAGAUACUGGAACAGCCAAUCUGAUAAGUGAAAUGGCUUCUAAGUGUCUAGCAGGUGGGACGCCACUACAGCAUGGGUACGCUGGACAAAGGGAGGAUUACCAUUUUCAGACCCAGGUUUACUAUGGGCAAUGAAACCUUGGAAAAUGAAAUCAGGGAUAAG